UACGUAGGGUCCAAGCGUUAUCCGGAAUUACUGGGUUUAAAGGGUGCGUCGGCGGUUUAGUAAGUUUGGGGUGAAAGUCUGUCGCUUAACGAUAGAAUUGCCUUGGAUACUGCUAAACUAGAGUAUAUGAGAGGAAAGCGGAAUUCGUGGUGUAGCGGUGAAAUGCGUAGAUAUAACGUAGAACACCGAUUGCGAAGGCAGCUCACUAAACUAAUAUUGACGCUGAUGGACGAAAGCGUGGGGAGCGAACAGG
rnacentral:rRNA from 1 species